AAAUUGAAUUAGAGAAGCAUGCUAAUAAUUCCUGUUUUACACUUUUUUUUUUUUUUCCUACAGGCAAUGGAAGCAGGGACACGUGACCUGGGAAGAAUACAUGGAUGCCAUCCAAACAUGCAGAGAUGGGAUGAGGAAAGCCAAGGCACAGAUGCAACUGAACUUGGUGAAGGGUGUGAAAAAUAACAAGAAGGGAUUCUAUAGGUGUGCUGAGCAGAAGAGAGUGUGUUGAGCCGAGGAGAGUACAACCCCUCUGAUAAAUGAGAAGGGAGAAACUGGCUUCAACAGACGUGGGGAAGACUGAGGAACUCAAGUUCUUUGCCUCAGUCUUCACUGGCAGUCAGGCUUCCCACAUCCCUAAUGUCCCAGAACCUCUAGUGGGGAGUCAGGGGAGCAAAAGUCCAAGUGUUUCCCAUGGGCAGUUUACAACAUUGACCGUAUACUGAAAAUAGCUUUAGUUUUCUUGUUUGACCUUUUUGACCAGAUGGAAAUUUCAGGUCCACAGAAGGACUAUCAUGCACAAUUUCUUGGAUUGUUUUGCCCUCUGGUUGCAGGAUUGCUGGUCCUGGUUAGAAUCCUUAUACAGUGCGGAGGAGCACUUCAUGCCACAGUGUAUCCAAACUGAUGGGACAUUGCUGAGAAUGGAGCUAAAACUCUUUGCAAGCAGACUGCAGCUAUACUAAGUGUUUCUCUUCUUGGGAGAAAAAGCUAUGCACCAGGUGCAAAAAAUGGAGAACAAAGUAUCUGUACCCUGAAGGCCCUGGGACAAAAAGAAUUCCAGCCUGCAAACUUCACCUCUUGCUGAAGAUAAAGACAAAAGUCUUAGAGAUUCUUACCAGUCUAUCCCAGAGCAAACUACUUUUCCAUCACCAAAUCUGGAGGUUGGCCUGACUCUGAGCCUUCCAUCAGUGGUCUAACCCCACUGCUGUCUGUUUCCAGCUGGUGGCUAAAGUCUGAUACUUUAGAAAGUGGUAGGUGGGUAGGAGAAGUAAUCAAAGUACGUGUAGAAAGGAGAGAAGGAAUUCUUUCGUAGCCUGAAGGCAAUCAUGUGAAGUCCUCAGGACUGAUUGCAAGCUGUGAUUUGGAGUUUCUCCCACUGAAGGAUGCUUAUCGGUGAUUGGAUCUUGCCGUGCUUUUAUCAGUAAAAUUUUAAAAGCUCUCUACUCCCAGAUAUCCAUCCCAUGUGCUAAUACAUAUGCAAAAUACCCAAAUCACCUCAGGCUUUUUUUUUUUUUUAAGUGAAUAUAUUAUGGUUCUUACAUCUCCCCCACUGCAGUUUGCAUGGCAGCCCAUAGGACAGCCUUGUGGUUCCCAUUUAAAACCUCUGUAGUAUUUCCUCAGCCUCCCUUUAGGAGUGGGGACAAGGAAUGCAAUGCCAGCUUCUAGCAAUCACUAACUAAUGCCCUAUGCAGAGCUCACAUCUCUGUAUUUGCUUUCUAAAUAACUAUCAGAUACUAUUUGUUAGAGCACUUCACUAAGCAUUUAUUAAAUGUAAGCAAUAGUGUACCUGCAGAUAGACCUCCACCUUCAGGAGCAAGUUCAGGCUGUCCCCCAGGAAGGUGUUUGUGGUUAAUCACACAGGAUUCAGGAGGGUUUGGCAUGGCCUCUUGGGCAAUCUUAAGUAAUGAAGUUGACCUUUCUGCAUUGCCGUCUCUCUUACCUCAGCCCCAUUUCUUUAAGGCGUGUGCAAUACUUGCACUGCUCUAAUCCCACCUGGUCUAUCUGCAGGCGCAUCUGCACAAGUGGUGACUCUGCCUGCACACUGAGUCAGCCGAGUGAAAGCCUCCUCCGAGCUAGAAGCUGUUUAGACGUGUUGCUGAAGGCUGUGCCCAUUCUAAUGCUUUUCUCCACAGAGAAAAAAAACAUGCUGAGUUGCUGAAUUAACUGUUGUCGGGCUCCUCAAGCAUGAAAAUGACCAGUGUUCUCCAGCACACAAAGCUUUCAUGCCAAAGACAUUUCAGGUCUCACACUGCUCCUGUCCAGCAUCUAUGCGCCCAGUGCUUGCACUCAGCCUGCUUUCCUGCCUCACUCCCUCCCCAGUUUCCCUGGUCAGCCCAUAUGAG
ensembl:lncRNA